GCAUUUACAAUUUUUACCAUGCAACUACGACGUGCGACUGUGCAACUAUGAAUUAGAAUUGGCAAUACAUCUAAAUAGACAUAAAAAAAUAAUCAGUAACUUUUCUUGUGCAACUAUGAAGUCGUUAUGUGCAAGCAACAUAUUAUAUUUUUAACCAAGUCAUAAUUUAAAUGAUUUAACUCCAAUAAAAACCUAAAUCACUCAAAAAACCCAAGUCACAAUUUAAAUGAUCUCCUUCGUGAAAAUACAAAAAAAAAAUAGCACAACCAAUAUAAACACACUAAUAACCAAUAAAAAACAAAAACUUUUAUGCAUUGACUCAAAUAUUUGUGCACCAAUUAUUCAAUAAAAACCAAUACCAAUUCUUCUUAGCAUAUACGCAUUUAAAACUUUU
rnacentral:lncRNA from 1 species